rnacentral:RNase_P_RNA from 1 species
UAAGGUAGACGGGCGGCCGCCUGUUGUGAUUAUUCGUCACGACCGGAGGAAAGUCCGAGCUCUCCCGGAAGAAUGCCCGCUAACGGCGGGGCGGGGUGACCCGACGGAAAGUGCCACAGAAAUAUACCGCUGCAUGUCAGUAAGGGUGAAAUGGUGGGGUAAGAGCCCACCGCAAGGGUGGAGACAUCCUUGGUCCAGGUAAACCCCAUUCGGAGCAAGGCCUAAUAGGGGUAUAUAUGGCUCCGGGCCAUACCCGGGUUGGCCGCUUGACUUGUUCGGCAACGGACAGGCUAGAUAGAUGGUCGCCACUUCGUAACAACGAAGGACAGAACUCGGCUUACAGUCCGCCUUAGCCU